rnacentral:lncRNA from 1 species
UUAACUACAACAACAACCAACAAUCCAAUAAUUUUUCAUAUAAAAUUCUGGAAAAAAAAUAUAAUAAUGAAAAUACAUCAAUGAAACACAAGAAAUCUUGAAAUAUCUUCUUGAAUCUUGAUCAAGGAUUAAAUCCAUAAUUCAAAAAACGAAAAUCAACAUGAAAAAAAAAUACAUUCAAGUGAAACUGAAAGAACGUGAAAAUCUUAGAUCCAGAGGAGAUAUGACGAAAUUGUUGGAAUUGGGGAGAGUGGUGCGGAAGAAGUUGGAAAGGA